AUUGAACGCUGGCGGCAUGCCUUACACAUGCAAGUCGAACGGCAGCACGGGGGCAACCCUGGUGGCGAGUGGCGAACGGGUGAGUAACACAUCGGAACGUGCCCAGUAGUGGGGGAUAGCUCGGCGAAAGCCGGAUUAAUACCGCAUACGACCUACGGGUGAAAGCGGGGGAUCGCAAGACCUCGCGCUAUUGGAGCGGCCGAUGUCAGAUUAGGUUGUUGGUGGGGUAAAGGCCACCAAGCCGACGAUCUGUAGCUGGUCUGAGAGGACGACCAGCCACACUGGGACUGAGACACGGCCCAGACUCCUACGGGAGGCAGCAGUGGGGAAUUUUGGACAAUGGGCGCAAGCCUGAUCCAGCCAUGCCGCGUGCGGGAAGAAGGCCU
rnacentral:rRNA from 1 species